rnacentral:rRNA from 1 species
GCAAGUCGAGCGGCAGCACGAUAGAGCUUGCUCUCUUGAUGGCGAGUGGCGUCCAGGUGAGUAAUAUAUCGUAACGUGCCCAGUAUCGGGGGAUAACUACUCGUAACAGUGGCUAAUACCGCAUACGCCCUACGGGGGACAGGGGGGGAUUCUUCGGAACCUCUCACUAUUGGAGCGGCCGAUAUCCCAUUGUGUAGUUGGUGGGGUAAAGGCUCACCAACUCAACGAUCCGUAGAUGGUUUGAUAGGAUGACCGGAUGAUCUGGGACUGAGACACUGCCCCAACUCCUACAGUAGGCCGCAGUGGGGAAUUUUGGACUAUGGGGGAAAGCCUGAUCCCCCCAUCCCGCGUGGAUGAUGAAGGCCUUCAGGUUGUAAAGUACUUUUGGCCUAUAAGACAAGGUAUCCCCUAAUACGGGAUACUGCUGACGGUUUCUGCUUAAUAACCACCGGCUAACUACCUGCCUCCAGCCCCGGUACUACGUAAGGUGCAAGCGUUAAUCCGAAUUACUGGGCUUCUGGCGUGUGUACGCGUGUCGGAGAUAUGUAUGUGAAAACCCGAGGCUCAACCUUGGAACUGCAUUUUUAACUGCCGAGCUGGAGUACUCAGAGGGGGGUAGAAUUCCACGUGUACCAGUGAAAUGCGUAGAUAUGUGGAGGAAUACCGAUGGMSAAGGCAGCCCCCUGGGAUAAUACUGACGCUCAGACACKAAGCGUGRGGAGCAGACAGGAUUASAUASCCUGGUASUCCACGCCCUAAAYGAUGUCACUAGCUGUUGKGGCCGUUAGGCCUUAGUAGCGCAGCUAACGCGUGAAGUUGMCCGCCUGGRGAGUACGGUCGCAAGAUUAAAAAUCAAAGGAAUUGACGGGGACCCGCACAAGCGGUGGAUGAUGUGGAUUAAUUCGAUGCAACGCGAAAAACCUUACCUACCCUUGACAUGUCUGGAAUCCCGAAGAGAUUUGGCAGUGCUCGCAAGAGAACCGGAACACAGGUGGUGCAUGGCAGUCGUCAGCUCGAGUCGUGAGAUGUUGGGUUAAGUCCCGCAACGAGCGCAACCCUUGUCAUUAGUUAGUACGCAAGAGCACUCCAAUGAGACUGCCGGUGACAAACCGGAGGAAGGUGGGGAUGACGUCAAGUCCUCAUGGCCCUUAUGGGUAGGGCUUCACACGUCAUACAAUGGUCGGGACAGAGGGUCGCCAACCCGCGAGGGGGAGCCAAUCUCAGAAAACCGAUCGUAGUCCGGAUCGCAGUCUGCAACUCGACUGCGUGAAGUCGGAAUCGCUAGUAAUCGCGGAUCAGAAUGUCGCGGUGAAUACGUUCCCGGGUCUUGUACACACCGCCCGUCACACCAAGGGAGUGGGUCUCACCAGAAGUAGGUAGCCUAACCGUAA